UACGUAGGGCGCAAGCGUUAUCCGGAAUUAUUGGGCGUAAAGAGCUCGUAGGCGGUUUGUCGCGUCUGCCGUGAAAGUCCGGGGCUCAACUCCGGAUCUGCGGUGGGUACGGGCAGACUAGAGUGAUGUAGGGGAGGACUGGAAUUCCUGGUGUAGCGGUGAAAUGCGCAGAUAUCAGGAGGAACACCGAUGGCGAAGGCAGGUCUCGUUGGGCACUUUAACUGACGCUGAGGACGAAAGCAUGGGGAGCGAACAG
rnacentral:rRNA from 1 species